UCUCAAUACUAGAUCUUGACUGAGGAACCUCACAACAGGCUUGGACAGAGAAAUAUCAUCCCCUGAAAAGGGGCAACUGGAUGGAGCAAUCCAGGAGGUGUCUCCUUAGAGAGAGGAGUCAGAAGUCCUUGUGCACAGCAGACUGGAAGCCUCUGUGAAAGAAUAAGAAAACAGCCCAAAAAAGGAGCACAGGAUUGCUCUUCAAAAUAAAGUAAAGUAAGAUAAAAUAAAGUAAAGUAAAAUACUGAUUC